rnacentral:rRNA from 1 species
UACGUAGGGACCGAGCGUUGUCCGGAAUCAUUGGGCGUAAAGAGCGUGUAGGCGGCCACUUAAGUCCUGCGUGAAAUCUUGCGGCUCAACCGCAAGCGGUCGUGGGAAACUGGGUGGCUAGAGUGCGGGAGAGGUUGGUGGAAUUCCCAGUGUAGAGGUGAAAUUCGUAGAGAUUGGGAAGAACACCGGUGGCGAAGGCGGCCAACUGGACUGGUAUUGACGCUGAGGCGCGAAAGCGUGGGGAGCAAACAGG